rnacentral:rRNA from 1 species
UGAGACCUCAGCUCAGUCGUGAUUACCCGCUGAAUUUAAGCAUAUAACUAAGCGGAGGAAAAGAAACUAACCAGACUCUAGAGG